CCUACGGGUGGCUGCAGUAGGGAAUAUUGCUCAAUGGGGGAAACCCUGAAGCAGCAACGCCGCGUGGAGGAUGAAGGUUUUCGGAUUGUAAACUUCUUUUGUUAGAGAAGAUAAUGACGGUAUCUAACGAAUAAGCCCCGGCUAACUCCGUGCCAGCAGCCGCGGUAAUACGGAGGGUGCAAGCGUUACUCGGAAUCACUGGGCGUAAAGAGCGCGUAGGCGGGGGAGCAAGUCAGAUGUGAAAUCCUAUGGCUGAACCAUAGAACUGCAUUUGACACUGUUAUACUGGAGUAUGGGAGAGGUAGGUGGAAUUCUUGGGGUAGGGGUAAAAUGCGUAGAGAUCAAGAGGAAUAC
rnacentral:rRNA from 1 species